UGAAUACGAGAUGCUACGGCGUCGAAGCAGUCUAUGUCAUACUUCCAAGAAAAGCUCGCACUGUCAUAAACAAAUAAUGCCUGUACCAUAACCGACACAGGUGGGUAGGUAGAGUAUACUAAGGGGCGCGAGAUAACUCUCUCUAAGGAACUCGGCAAAAUGACUCCGUAACUUCGGGAGAAGGAGUGCCUUAUUUAUAAGGUUGCAAUAACAAGAUCCAAGCAACUGUUUAUCAAAAACACAGGUCUCCGCUAAGUCGUAAGACGAUGUAUGGGGGCUGACGCCUGCCCAGUGCCAGAAGGUUAAAGAAGUUGGUUAGCAUUCGCGAAGCUGAUAACUGAAGCCCUGGUGAACGGCGGCCGUAACUAAAACGGUCCUAAGGUAGCGAAAUUCCUUGUCGGGUAAGUUCCGACCCGCACGAAAGGCGUAAUGAUUUGGAUACUGUCUCGGAGAGGGGCUCGGUGAAAUAGACUUGUCUGUGAAGAUGCGGACUACCUGCACCAGGACAGAAAGACCCUAUGAAGCUUUACUGUAACUUGAGAUUGAAAUUGGACUUUACUUGCGCAGUAUAGGUGGGAGGCGUUGAUAAUAUUCUUGCGGGAUUAUUUGAGCCAUCAGUGAGAUACCACUCUUGUAAUGUUAGAUUUCUAACUUUGUAUCAUUAUCUGGUCAAAGGACAGUUUCAGGCGGGCAGUUUGACUGGGGCGGUCGCCUCCUAAACGGUAACGGAGGCGCACAAAGGUUUCCUCUGAACGGGUAGAAAUCGUAUCUAGAGUGUAAAGGCAUAAGGAAGCUUGACUGUGAGACCUACAAGUCGAGCAGGGACGAAAGUCGGUCUUAGUGAUCUGACGGUGCUGAGUGGAAAGGCCGUCACUCAACGGAUAAAAGUUACUCUAGGAUAACAGGCUGAUCUCCCCCAAGAGUUCACAUCGACGGGGAGGUUUGGCACCUGGAUGUCGGCUCAUCGCAUCCUGGGGCGGUAGUACGUCCCAAGGGUUGGGCUGUUCGCCCAUGAAAGCGGUACGCGAGCUGGGUUCAGAACGUCGUGAGACAGUUCGGUCCAUAUCCGGUGUAGGCGUUAGAAUAUUGAGAGGAGCCUUCUUUAGUACGAGAGGACCGAGAAGGACAUACCUCUGGUGUACCAGUUAUCGUGCCAACGGUAAACGCUGGGUAGCUAUGUAUGGAGUGGAUAACCGCUGAAAGCAUCUAAGUGGGAAGCCCACCUCAAGAUAAGUAUUCUCAC
rnacentral:rRNA from 1 species